rnacentral:rRNA from 1 species
CAGCCGCCGCGGUAAUACGGAGGGGGCUAGCGUUGUUCGGAAUUACUGGGCGUAAAGCGCACGUAGGCGGCUUUGUAAGUCAGAGGUGAAAGCCCGGGGCUCAACCCCGGAAUUGCCUUUGAGACUGCAUCGCUUGAAUCCAGGAGAGGUGAGUGGAAUUCCGAGUGUAGAGGUGAAAUUCGUAGAUAUUCGGAAGAACACCAGUGGCGAAGGCGGCUUACUGGACUGGUAUUGACGCUGAGGUGCGAAAGCGUGGGGAGCAAACAGGAUUAGAGACCCCGGUAGUCCCUGUCUCUUAUAC